rnacentral:rRNA from 1 species
UACGGAGGGUGCAAACGUUGCUCGGAAUCAUUGGGCGUAAAGCGCACGUAGGCGGCUCGUUAAGUCGGAUGUGAAAGCCCCGGGCUCAACUCGGGAAGUGCAUUCGAAACUGGCGAGCUUGAAUAUGGAAGAGGGUCGCGGAAUUCCCGGUGUAGAGGUGAAAUUCGUAGAUAUCGGGAGGAACUCCGGCGGCGAAAGCGGUGCACUGGUGGAUUACUGACGCUGAGGUGCGAAAGCCAGGGGAGCAAACGGG